rnacentral:rRNA from 1 species
CCUACGGGUGGCAGCAGUGGGGGAUAUUGCACAAUGGGGGAAACCCUGAUGCAGCGACGCCGCGUGGGUGAAGAAGUAUUUCGGUAUGUAAAGCCCUAUCAGCAGGGAAGAAAGAAGACGGUACCUGACUAAGAAGCCCCGGCUAACUACGUGCCAGCAGCCGCGGUAAUACGUAGGGGGCGAGCGUUAUCCGGAUUCACUGGGUGUAAAGGGAGCGUAGACGGCCGUGCAAGCCAGGAGUGAAAGCCCGGGGCCCAACCCCGGGACUGCGCUUGGAACUGUGCGGCUGGAGUGCGGGAGGGGCAGGCGGAAUUCCUGGUGUAGCGGUGAAAUGCGUAGAUAUCAGGAGGAACACCGGCGGCGAAGGCGGCCUGCUGGACCGCGACUGACGUUGAGGCUCGAAAGCGUGGGGAGCGAACAGGAUUAGAUACCCGGGUAGUC